UACGGGGGGGGCGAAGCGUUGUUCGGAAUUACUGGGCGUAAAGGGCUCGUAGGCGGCCAACUAAGUCGGAUGUGAAAUCCCCAGGCUCAACCUGGGAACUGCAUCCGAUACUGGAUGGCUUGAAUCCGGGAGAGGGAUGCAGAAUUCCAGGUGUAGCGGUGAAAUGCGUAGAUAUCUGGAGGAAUACCGGUGGCGAAGGCGGCAUCCUGGACCGGCAUUGACGCUGAGGAGCGAAAGCUAGGGGAGCAAACGGG
rnacentral:rRNA from 1 species